rnacentral:rRNA from 1 species
GAUGAACGCUAGCGGCAGGCUUAAUACAUGCAGGUCGAGGGGUAACAUGGUAGCAAUACUGAUGACGACCGGCAAACGGGUGCGGAACACGUACAGAACCUUCCUUUAAGCGGGGGAUAGCCCAUAGAAAUGUGGAUUAAUACCCCAUAGUAAUAUUUGGUGGCAUCAUUAGAUAUUUAAAGAUUUAUCACUUAAAGAUGGCUGUGCGGCUGAUUAGGUAGUUGGUUGGGGUAACGGCCCACCAAGCCAGCGAUCAGUAACUGGUGUGAGAGCACGACCAGUCACACGGGC